rnacentral:rRNA from 1 species
ACAAGCGGUGGAGGUAUGUGGUUUAAUUCGAUGCAACGCGAAGAACCUUACCUGGUCUUGACAUCCCGGAGACCCUUAGGAACUAGGGGUGCUUCCAUCUGGAAGAAUCUGGAGACAGGUGCUGCAUGGCUGUCGUCAGCUCGUGUCGUGAGAUGUUGGGGUUAAGUCCCGCAACGAGCGCAACCCUUGCCUUUAGUUGCCAGCAGUUCGGCUGGGCACUCUAAAGGGACUGCCGGUGUUAAACCGGAGGAAGGUGGGGAUGACGUCAAGUCCUCAUGGCCUUUAUGACCAGGGCUACACACGUACUACAAUGGCCGAUACAAAGGGCAGCGACACUGCGAGGUGAAGCCAAUCCCGUAAAAUCGGUCUCAGUCCGGAUUGGAGUCUGCAACUCGACUCCAUGAAGUUGGAAUCGCUAGUAAUCGUGGAUCAGCAUGCCACGGUGAAUACGUUCCCGGGCCUU